UCUCCUGUAGCUCAGUGGUAGAGCGUCCGACCGGUGAGCGGAAGGUCAUAGGUUCGACUCCUGUUGGGGGAA